rnacentral:tRNA from 1 species
GGGAGCUACCACCUCANNAGAGCAUCUCGUUUACACCGAGAGGGUCGGGGGUUCGAGUCCCUCAGCGCCUACCA